rnacentral:tRNA from 1 species
GCAGUGGUAGUUCAAUGGUAGAAUUCUUGCCUUCCAUGCAGGAGACCCAGGUUUGAUUCCUGGCCAGUGCA